UGUUCCUUCUUUCUUCAUUCCUGGCUCCAUCACAUAAGUGUCCUCAUAUGUGUGCCUGUAACUGGAGUCUCAUGAUCAAGUCCCAUUUGCUCCCCCUUGAAAAGAGUAACCUCUUGCCACUCCUUGGGCUAUACAAAUUUUGAUAACCACUCUCUGGAUGGAGUUAUCAUGUAAGAUAACCACCUAGGCUCUGGAGCCACAGCGUUACAGAUGAGCCCCAGACAGCAUUUUAGCAAAAAACCUUUCACCCCAAUUGAAUGUGCAUUACCACCGUGAAUGUCCACGCAGCUACAGGCAUUCCAAAUCUCAAGUUUAUGCGUGUGUUCCAUGAAGAAUGUUUGUAGGCAGUUAUGGUGAAGAGCAAAAAGCCCAAGAGGAAAACUAAGAAUAAGAAGCCUCUUUUUUGCUGUUGUCUUUUCCUGUGCUGGGUCUGUCAAAACCACAGGUUUGCAAGUUGUUUUGUUGAAGAUAAAGGACAUGUUGAAAAAACAAUACGCCAUAAAUAUACAUCUCAAUAAUUUAUCAUGAAGUGAACAUUCCCAUUUAACCACUUCCAAGACACCCAUAGAGUAUUAGAAGUCACUGGAAUAUUCUUAGAGAAUCAUCUCUCUCCAAUCCAGGAAAGCAACACAUAAAUACAGGACAAAGAGAUGGAUCAACAUCAGAAAUGCGUGGGAGAGAUAUCAGCCCAGCUUCCCUGGGCUGAUUCUGAGCAGUUCUUUGAGGAUCGCAUCGACUCACUCUUUUUCCUCUCUUAUACUCCCCUGUGUAUUGUCUGGCAGAACAUCCUGCCCUUAGGUCCUUGCACUCAGUUUCUUUCCCUCAUGGUUUCCCUUUGCCAGAAUUGUUACUGUCGU